AAUGCCUUGGGCUAACGGGUUGAGACCCUGAAGCAGCCAUGUAGUUAAGGGAGGAUAUUCUGCAGGUGGCUUCAGGAGUGAUUCUCAAAGCACUUACCCUGACCAACUCAGGGAAAAACUCAGAACCUUCAGCAGCACCCUGUUCAAGCACAAACUCUCAGGCCAGAGCCUGGCACACUAUUGAGACUGUCUUUUCAAGUGACUCUGAUAGAAGUCGAAGUGUAUAAUACAUUAUUAUAAAUCAUCAGGCCCCACACAUACAGCCUAGAGAGAAGGUGAAACCUGUGGGGUUUGCUGGCCUCUCACACAAUUAAAAAAAGGAUAGCAGGGAGGCCCGGGUGUGAGUACCAGAAUACAGCAGGAAGGGUCAGCUCUGCUCACUUCUGACUUGCUGAGGCUUCAGUGAUCAGCAGGACAACUAGCCAAUUGGUCUGAAGAUGACUUCUGAGCCCUAUAUGUACCCAUCUAGGCCUUUGAAGAGAGGGACAUGACAGAAGAACGUGAACUUUCAAGUUUUCUGUAGGCCCUGCCCUGAUUUCAGAAAUUGAGUUAAAAAAAAAAAUUACAUAAUUUUUGAAGGGGGGAAAAAAAGUCCCACUUCUCAAACAAAACACACUGGAGUCGUUCUCUAAAAAAAUAUUUCUUUUGUAUAUUUUUAGAUGUAGAGUAAUUUGUUUUUUUUAAGAAUCUCAUAAGUAUACAUAUUGAAAUAUGAUCAUUUCUGCCUCCCCGAUCACUGGAAUAGGGGUACAUAUAUAGAUGUCUUUUAAAGCCCUAUUAUAACAGGAUUUCUGAGGAAGAGGCUGGAGUCUCUGUACUGAGCACAACUUUCCUUACUGUUCUUUAAUAUACUCCUUCACCACCAGUGUCUCUAGGGUUUCCUUCUCUGAUGUUAUUCGAACCUACCUUGCAUCCCUGGAGUGUCAUCUCUGGAAAAGAAUCUGGUUGCCAGACCUCUGCUCAAAUUCUAUCUCCAAGCCUCCCUGUGCUCCAUAGUAAACUCCAAAGCUUUAGGGUGAGUCCCUGGGCCACACUAAUCCAGUCCCUGCCACUUUCUUUCUUCAGCCCUGCUUCCCACCGCUUCAGCCCCUGAGCCUAUUCUGAAUCCCUCACACUGUCUUGGACACACAGGGCUUGUGAUGGUUUAUAUUUGCUUGGCCCAGAGAGUGGCACUAUUAGGAGGUGUGGCCUUGUUGGAGCAGAUAUGUCACUGCAGAUGUGGGCUUUAAAAUCCUCAUCCUAGCUGCCUGGAAGCCAGUAUUCUCUCAGCAGCCUUCAGAUGAAGAUGUAGAACUUUCAGUUUCUCCUACACCUUGCCUGCCUGGAGGCUACCAUGUUCCUACCUUGAUGAUAAUGGUCUGAACCUCUGAACCUGUAAGCCAGCCCCAAUUAAAUGUUGUCUUUAAAAGAGUUGCCUUGGUCAUGGUGUCUCUUCACAGCAGUGAAACCCUAACUAAGGCAGGGCUCUUGUGUCUUGGUUUCCUCAACAAUGUAAGCCCUUCCUUCAGUCGUCCCAGUGUAGCAGUUAAGCUAAUACCAGGUUGUGUACAAACUCUCGGUAGAUUAGGUCAACAUGGGUUGUGUCCUUCUUCUGUGUCACUGGCUGGCAAGUCUUUCCCUAACAGGACAAAAGGUAAAUACUUUAGGCUUUAUGAGUGACAUAGUCUCUGAUACAUGAGUAUAUAUAUGUAUCCAAACCUUUAAACUGUAUUUAAAAGCUUUUUUAUUCAUAGACAUUUUCAGAGAUGUGUGUGUAUUGCUACUCAUGAGGUCGAUCAGAAACCUUCGUUAAUAGCACAGCCACCUUUUGAAUGCCUCCUGUUGCCAGGGAGACAAAAAGAGCCUCACACAAACAAUGAAAUGUCAGGGUCUGGGAGUGAUGCCCAUGCAACUUCUGUCCCUUAAUUAGUAAAAGUUAAUACCUUAACCCAGACAAUGAUAAAGAGGCUGAGGCAGGCUGUGACUUACUGAGUGAAAAAUGCUGACUAGAUCAGCUCAAGUCAAGCACCCGGGGAAGCCUUUUCUUACAUCCUUAUCCUGCGACCAAGUCAGCUGGGUUUCCCCUGUAAUCCUUAUUCAUUCAUUCAUUCAUUCAUUCAUUCAUUCAUCAUUGUGAUGGUUCAGAUGGAAUGGACAACCUUUGCAUGCUAGGCAAGCAAUCCACCACUGAGUAACAGCCUCAGCCACAGCUACAGUCGCAUCUCUGUAUUCUACAGCAUCUGAAACAACUUUGGAACACAGUGCCGCAUGUAAAACAGUGCUGUAAUUUUCAACAUGUCUCUCUUACCUUGACCAGCUCCCAUGGCCUCCUCAGCUAAGUAUUGACCCAUGGCGGUUGCCUUACAUAGCAUAGAACCCAGCACUGCUCAGUGUGUGUGCUGUUUGGACACACUAGUUCACUCGGUGGAUUGUGGAAGUAAAUAGCACUACUCACAUAGUUACCUGAAGGCCUCUGUUCGUUUGCCCACGUUAUCUACUCGAGAUUAAUUUAUUCUCUUAGUUAUCAGUUACUCUCUAUGUUAAUUAUAUGCAUUCGUCCUUUGGAACUUCUUUCAGCCUCUAAUAGGUUGGUCUGAAAGAGACCUGCUUCUUGAGGCCACAGAUGAUUUUGAGUAUCAUGUGGGUUGUUUCUGAUUUCAGUUUACAGGUCAGAUGGCAGGCACAGAAAAGGGAGUGGUUUGUUUUUAUCCUUUGAAGUUACACAGAGGCAGAGGCAGUCGAAUGAUAGACCAAAAAAGCCACCAGGUUGAGUGUAGAGCCAUAACUUGGCUUACCAACAGUUUAUUUAUGCUAGAAAGCAUAAUACAUGUUUGUCAAAGUUAAGUCUUAUGUGCCGUAUCAAUGUUUCCCUUGUCGUGUACCUUUCUCUCUCAAGUAAAACAUUGAAAACAAGCUUGUGACGUCUCAGUUAACUAUGGAGCCUGUUCAUAUUGACUAUUUAUUGACUUCACCUAUGUCCCCCACCCAUUUCAUCAGGUGUAAAGUGACUAUGAGCUUUUCAAGCCCCAGGGAUACGAAAGUUAGACCAUCCCCCUCAAACUUGGUCUGUGGACUGGUACUGGCUGUGAUCACGUGUUCACCAUGCAGUUUCCGCCCAUCUCCUACCCUCUGAUUAUACACAACAGCAUCCACAGUGAGCAGCUUUGAAAGACCCCAUCUGCAUGUGAGAUUAUCCAUCACAAUGAGGCUAAAUUACACCGAUCAAAAUGUACCCUGGCUGAGAAUUACCCCCAGGGUCUCCUGGGUACAUGAGAACAUCUCUCCUAGUAGACUGUCCCCAGAGAACUGCUCAAGAGAACCAAGGUGACAUUACAAUGCCAGAAGGAAGCUAGGACAUGGAAUCUGAAAUCUGUCAACUUUGAUUCAUUCGAGGUACAGCAACUUAUAAAACAGAAGCACAUACACACAUAUUAACAGGUGAAAUAAUUUGGAAAAAUCUGUGGUAUACCACAGAAAGCAUCUCAACCAAGGCGAUGUGUUCAAGAAAACUGAAGUACACUAAGAACAAACCAUAAACUUAGGUCCUGUCUGGCACCCACCUCCCUCCAAUCUAUCCUCUCUGGGAGGGUUGACUUCUUUCCCUCCACAAUGCUUAUAAUUGAACGUUACAAACUAUACCAAGAAUAAAUCUACCGGGGUCCCCUUCCUCCAACCAGAAAAAGGUUAAGCUUUUAAUUACAGGCCCUCAAACUAUCAUUUUGUGCAAUUAGCAAUUAACUCUAAUCGUUGAUGAGAGAAUGCAGAGCUGCGCUGGCAAUUUCCCUCCUCCCCAUCCCAGACUCGGUUAUUUUAGUCUUGUUCUAUUACAGAGGACAAGCCACAACCGCGGGAGCGCUCUUGUUCUUUCUCUCUUUCUCUUUCACACACUCUUACUUAAAGCCACAUUUAAUUUUUAACAAAAUGGCAUCUCAGCUUGCCAUUGAGAUGGGACUCCGAACCCCACAGCAGAACAGCGGAGCUUUCGCACCCCUCCUCUUCAUCACUUUCAGGUUGGAAAGAAGAGUCCCCCGGAAGAUGCUACCUACCGACCUCACUACAUCAGCCCUUCCUAGGGGCUCAGGAGAGGGAGGAAAAGGGUUCCUUGCUGCCCCCCAGACCCCUCAACUGCCAGCCCCAUCAAGCCUGGAGGCGGUGGCAAGAGCAGCAAUAGUUGCAUCAGCGCUCCUAGCCAAGGCGCCAGGAGGGUACAGUAGCAACUGUAGGGAGCUAGGGAGCGCACAGCUGCUGCGGCCGCAGGUUCCCUGGAUCAGGAAAUUAGGACAGGCACCCGGGAUUGGAGGUGAGGACGGUGCGCGAGCCAACCAGCGGCCGCCCCGGGUCCCCCGUGAGCCCCGGGCCAACGCGCGGAGCAGUCGAGCCCCUGGAGCCAUCCGGAUGGCGGCGGCGACAGCCCCAGCCCCAGCCACUCACGCACGCACGCUGCCACUUGCCCCCGCACCCUCCUCACUGCGCGCGGGAGAGCGGUGCGUGCCUGAGCUGCUGGGCUGAGCUCCCCCGCUGGGGUCCCCGCGCCGCUCGGCCGCGCUCCUGCGGCCGCCCGGGUGGUUGCCCCCAAACCGCUCACUUGAGCUGUCCUCGGUGGCGAACGGGCUCCCCGCCCCCUCCUCCCGCGCCGUUCCCUCCCCUCUCCCUCCCCUUCUCUGCAACGCCUGCAUUAUUUUCCGCCCGCAGGGUCCGCGCGCACACCGCGGCCGCGGCGGGGGAGGUGACCGGGUGGGUGGUUGGGUGGGUGGCUGGCGGGGAGUAGAGUGUGCAAGUUGCAGGGAAAGGGUGCCCGCUCCUUGCGUGCUCUCCGUGCUCCCGGCUCUUCACUCCUUCCCCCUCCUCCUCGUCUCCUCCCUCCCCGCCCCCACCUCCUUCUUCCUCUCCGAAGGGCUGGUAACUUGUUGUGCGGAGCGAACGGCGACAACGACGGCGCGACGGAGGCACCAUCCGGGCGGGCAGCAUGGGCACGUCCGCGCGCUGGGCGCUGUGGCUGCUGCUCGCGCUGUGCUGGGCGCCCCGGGACAGCGGCGCCACUGCAAGCGGGAAGAAAGCCAAAUGUGAUAGCUCCCAGUUUCAGUGCACAAAUGGCCGCUGCAUUACCCUGCUGUGGAAAUGUGAUGGAGAUGAAGACUGUGCGGAUGGCAGCGACGAGAAGAACUGUGUAAAGAAGACGUGUGCUGAGUCUGACUUCGUGUGCAAAAACGGCCAGUGUGUUCCUAACAGAUGGCAGUGUGACGGGGAUCCUGAUUGCGAAGACGGUUCUGAUGAAAGCCCUGAACAGUGCCAUAUGAGAACAUGCCGCAUAAAUGAAAUCAGCUGUGGCGCCCGUUCUACUCAGUGUAUCCCCGUGUCCUGGAGAUGCGAUGGUGAAAAUGAUUGUGACAAUGGAGAAGAUGAAGAAAACUGUGGCAACAUAACAUGUAGUGCAGAUGAGUUCACUUGCUCCAGUGGCCGCUGCGUCUCCAGAAACUUUGUGUGCAAUGGCCAGGAUGACUGUGACGAUGGCAGUGAUGAGCUGGACUGUGCUCCACCAACCUGCGGAGCCCACGAGUUCCAGUGCAGCACCUCUUCCUGCAUUCCCCUCAGCUGGGUGUGUGAUGAUGACGCAGACUGUUCAGACCAAUCAGACGAGUCUCUUGAGCAGUGUGGCCGUCAGCCUGUGAUACAUACCAAAUGUCCUACCAGUGAGAUCCAGUGUGGCUCUGGCGAGUGCAUUCACAAAAAAUGGCGGUGUGACGGAGACCCUGACUGCAAGGACGGCAGCGAUGAGGUCAACUGCCCUUCUCGAACCUGCCGACCUGACCAGUUUGAAUGUGAAGAUGGUAGCUGUAUCCACGGCAGCAGGCAAUGCAAUGGCAUCCGAGACUGUGUUGAUGGCUCUGAUGAAGUCAACUGCAAAAACGUCAAUCAGUGCCUGGGCCCUGGAAAGUUCAAGUGCAGAAGCGGGGAAUGCAUAGACAUGAGCAAAGUAUGUGACCAGGAACAAGACUGCAGAGACUGGAGUGACGAGCCCCUGAAGGAAUGCCAUAUCAACGAAUGCCUGGUCAAUAAUGGUGGCUGUUCCCAUAUCUGCAAAGACCUAGUUAUAGGUUAUGAGUGUGAUUGUGCAGCUGGGUUUGAACUGAUAGAUAGGAAAACCUGUGGAGAUAUUGAUGAAUGCCAAAACCCGGGGAUCUGCAGUCAAAUUUGUAUCAACUUAAAAGGCGGUUACAAGUGUGAAUGUAGUCGUGGCUAUCAAAUGGAUCUUGCCACUGGCGUGUGCAAGGCAGUAGGCAAAGAGCCGAGUCUGAUCUUCACUAAUCGAAGAGACAUCAGGAAGAUUGGCCUAGAGAGAAAGGAAUACAUCCAACUUGUAGAGCAACUAAGGAACACGGUGGCUCUCGAUGCGGACAUUGCAGCUCAGAAGCUGUUUUGGGCUGAUCUCAGCCAGAAGGCCAUCUUCAGCCAUUGCUGUUGAUUGGGUGUACAAGACCAUCUACUGGACUGAUGCGGCUUCUAAGACUAUUUCAGUAGCUACCCUAGACGGAGCCAAGAGGAAGUUCCUGUUUAAUUCUGACUUGCGAGAGCCUGCCUCCAUAGCUGUGGAUCCGUUGUCGGGCUUUGUUUACUGGUCAGACUGGGGCGAGCCAGCUAAAAUAGAAAAAGCAGGAAUGAAUGGAUUUGAUAGACGUCCUCUGGUGACGGAGGACAUCCAAUGGCCUAAUGGAAUUACACUCGACCUUGUCAAAAGCCGCCUCUACUGGCUGGAUUCCAAGUUGCACAUGCUCUCUAGUGUGGACCUGAAUGGUCAAGAUCGUAGGAUAGUGCUCAAGUCUCUGGAGUUCCUAGCUCAUCCUCUUGCACUCACCAUAUUUGAGGAUCGCGUCUACUGGAUAGAUGGAGAAAAUGAAGCAGUGUACGGUGCCAAUAAAUUCACUGGGUCAGAGCUGGCCACUCUAGUGAAUAAUCUCAAUGAUGCCCAAGACAUCAUUGUCUACCAUGAACUCGUCCAGCCGUCAGGUAAAAACUGGUGUGAAGACGAUAUGGAGAAUGGAGGAUGUGAAUAUCUCUGCCUGCCAGCACCACAGAUCAAUGACCACUCUCCAAAAUAUACCUGUUCCUGUCCCAAUGGGUACAAUCUCGAAGAAAAUGGACGAGAGUGUCAAAGUACUUCAACUCCUGUGACUUACAGUGAGACAAAAGAUAUCAACACAACAGACAUUCUACGAACUAGUGGACUGGUUCCUGGAGGGAUCAAUGUGACCACAGCAGUAUCAGAAGUCAGUGUUCCCCCAAAAGGGACUUCAGCUGCCUGGGCCAUCCUUCCUCUCUUGCUCUUAGUGAUGGCAGCAGUAGGUGGCUACUUGAUGUGGAGGAAUUGGCAACAUAAAAACAUGAAAAGCAUGAACUUUGACAAUCCUGUGUACUUGAAGACCACUGAAGAGGACCUGUCGAUAGACAUUGGUAGACACAGCGCUUCUGUAGGACACACAUACCCAGCAAUAUCAGUUGUAAGCACAGAUGAUGAUCUGGCUUGAGUUCUGAACAAAUCUUGGUCUAUGAGGUCUACACCAAUAACACCCUACUCUGGAAUGGUAACAGAGCCAGCGCUGAAGUCUCCUUUCUUCCUCCCAUCUGGAAGAACAUCAAGAUAUCUUUUUGUGGAUCAAGUUUGAGUACUUGAUCAUUUUUAUAUUACUUUUGUAAAUAUUCUUGGCCACAUUCUACUUCAGCUCUGGAUGUGGUUACCAAGUAUCUGUAACCCUUGAGCCCCUAGACAGUAUUGCCAUCUCUGGCCAAAUAUGCACUUUCCCUAGAAAGCCAUAUUCCAGCAAUGAACCUUGUGCUAUAGUGACUCCCACCUGUACAUACAUUGUAUAGGCCACCUGUACAUAUCCCAGAGAACAAUCACUAUUCUUAAGCACUUUGAAGAUAUUUCUAUGUAAAUUAUUGUAAACUUUUUCAAUGGUUGGGACAAUGGCAAUAGGAUAAAACGGGUUACUAAGAUGAAAUUGCCAAAAAAAAAAAAAAAUUUGUAACUAAUUUUGUACGUAUGAAUGAAAUCUUUGACCUCUGUCGAGGUUUGCAAAGACUGACUUCAAACUACUGUACGUUUUUUUCAAGUGCUAAAAAAAAAAUUAAACCAAGCAGCUUAACCAUGGUUUUGAUUAUUCCUCUAAGAUGAGCUUCUGGGAACAGUAUCACCAAAUGUCCCAAACAUUUAAGCUAGAGUUAGUUCUUGAUGUUGUAUACCUAAGCCCAUAAUCGAGCUAGUAUCUUGGAUGGUAUACAACCAAGAACCAGCUAAACAAUUAGAUACAGUUUAAUAUUUGUACCUCCAAAUCUAUCACUUCCUUCCUUCUUUCCUUCCUUCCUUUCUUCCCUUGCUGGCCUCAAGCUUGCAAUGCUCCUGCCUCAGCCUCUCAACUUCUAGAAUUACAUGGCUGCACCACUUCACCCAGCCUAUGUAGUUUUAUUUUAUAAAUGACACUGUCUUCCAGAAUUCCUUUCUUUAACAGAUUUCUUUUUCUUACUUUUUUUCCCCAUGAUCUAGAAACACAUGCCAAGAUUCUCAUGAGUUUUCUUACUUUGUCAUCCAUGUUCUUUUUCUAUUUGUAGGUCAAAGACAAGUGCCUUCUAUGGCAUGGGAAAGGGCUUUAUUCUUAUAAGAGUCUGGCCUGUCUUAACUAGAAGACGGGUAGGAAGGAUACUAGGUAGGCAGCGUUGCUGAACAAUCUAAGUUGUGGUUCUUAGCCUGUCCCAGGAACAGCAGCAUGGGAGGCUAGGAACUUAACAGAAAUGAGGAUUCUUGGUUCUCACCCCAAACCUACUUAAUCAGAAACCCCAGUAAUACAGACCAGAAAACAGUUUUCACAAAUUCCUCAUGUACUUUGAAUAUAACAUAAAGUUCGACAAAAUCUAUUCUAAUGUGGCUUUUUAUGGAGGGUGUAACUGUAAUGUAUUCAAAAUUGUCAGUGUGGUGGCAUCAAAUAUGUAGAGAUGGUCUUUCUGUGGAGAAUUUGUGGAACUUUAGUGUGGAGAACAAAGAAGGAGUUGGAGAUGAAAAAGUGGUACUGUGUCAAGGGAAGAUUUUUGUGAGUUUUCCAUCAUGUUGGCCAUCACAUCCUGACUGAAGUCUCAAGAUUCCUGGAAGUGAAGGAAGACACAAAGCUUAAAACUCAGAUGAGAUGCUCUGACUCCAUCGUGAAGUGGUCACUGAAAAAAAUGUUGCUGGUUUCUUGGGAUGAAAGAACUGAGCCAGCAUCUGAAAAAGAUCAUUUCAUUUAAAAACAAAAACAAAAAACCUUGUCUCUUCUGUAAAAAUCCAACAUUAGGUAGAACUUGCUGUAAUUUAAAAGUCACAAAGUCAUUUAUAAAAAAUGAAGUGAUUAAAUAUUGACCGAGUAUUGUUGAGUAUUGCUAGAGUAGCUAGUUAUCUGGUGAGACUGCUAAUUGAUUCAGUGUAUGAUAGUUCACACGGGAUGAGAACCUUGGCCUUUAUCACCCAAACAAGAACUCUCUAUGAGAUUGGUUGACGUGAGUUGGUUGAGUCUCUGGAGCAUCAGUUUUCAACUUCUGGAUCGCAACCCCUUUGGGGGUGGGUAGGUCACAUAACAGAUAUGCUGACUAACAGAGAUUGCCAUUAUGAUUUAUAACAAUAUCAAAUGUAUAGUUAUGAACUAGUUAUGAAAUAAUCUUAUGGUUGAGGGUCACCACAACAUGAGGAACUAUAUUAAAGACUCGUGGCAUUAGGAAGGUUGAGAACCACUUCUCUAGGGCUCAAUGUAUUAGAUAACUCACUAAGGGGUAAAAUAUGAAAUAUCAAAUCCUAAAAAGGAUAUUUAUAAUUAAAACAGCCUGUCAUGAGGCAACUGUGAGUGGAACAUCUGGGAAUUUGAGAAGUAUCUGCAAAGUAUAGAAAAAUCAACAGAUUUGUGGACCCUGGUAAAGAAGUUCAGCCAAGUCUCAGUGAAAAAUGUUAAGAAGUUGAUGCAAGCUGCAUGCUCCUUGUUAAGAUGCAGGCUUUGCAUAUCACCAGGUCACUUAGAAUAUUCUAACAGUUACUCUGAAGAUGUGUCAUGAUUUGUGAGCCUUUGGAUCUGGGUAAAUAGAGGACAAAACUAAUUCUUUGAGGCUUUAACUUGGGCACUUGCCUUGAUUCCUUUUAUUAUUGGAAGUCAGAUACCCCCUCUCCAAAGUGAGCAGGCAGGUUUUAAACAGCUUAACUACUGACCAGUUAUAAGACUCGCUUUUCAGUCAUGGAUCCUGCAGAAAUCUGAGACCCACCCAUAUCCUAGCUUUUAACUGUCUUCGCUCCACCCUCAAAGAUGCUACUGGGCUUCCUGUGCAUCGCAUUGCUAAAGAGAACUGAUUUCCUAGCAUUCUUCCCUAGUAAAAUCUUUCCCAAUAGAACAGUAUGUUCCCUUAAACCCAAAUGAACAUCACGCUACUUUCUUUUACCUGUGGCAAAGCAAACAAAUUAAAAAAAAAAAAUCAUACACCCUUUUGCUUACCUAAUUUCAAGAACAAAACAAACAACAAAAAAAUGCUACUCCUAGUUCAGAUGUUGUGCCCUUCAUUUCUAAAGCCGAUGUUUUGCCCUCUUUGGAAAGACUGAGAACUGUGGCCUGAUUUCGUCCAUAUUCUAGACUCUUAAGCUUGUCAAAUUCCAGAAAUGGAAAAAACUCUGCAAGAGAGUCUUGCUUUCAAGGAGAAAGGAAAAUGGCUUUGAAAAUGAGACAGUCUUUGUGGGUUUUGUCGUUGGUUUUUGUUUGUUUACUUGGUUUUCUCAUGUCCAGCACGGAGGUCUCCAGUUCACAAGAGCUUCCUGGGAAGGAUAAUAAUCAUGUUUGUAGGAAUCUCAUUCCCAUCGACCUUUACCGAUGGAGAGCCAAUUGUAAUUCUUUUGCCCUAAGGACUAGGGACUCCUAAGUUGAGGGUUGUGAUCAGAGGUCCCAUCUCUUUACAGUGUCACUUCAAUCUGUUUGUGUUUCUGAGCCUGGUUCCUCCAAGACACAGGAAUGAAGUGGGGCCACAGAUUUAGAAUCCAUUUAAGUUUCCCUGUUGUGUGUCUGUGUUGACCCUGGGACAAGUGUGAGACAGGAAGAGUGUGGGGAGUCUGGGCUCGGUAGUAACUCUGGGAUAUUUCAAGGAUGGCUUUCUUUUUGACUGUGCUUGGGAGCAAAGUCAGAUGGGCAGCUGGGUGUGUGUUUAGAGCUCUACGAAUUGUCAAUAACACAUGCUUCUCUGUCCCAGGGGUCCUAGAGAGGGCAAAUUACUAAGCAUCUCUGUAGGAUGGAGAUGAUAGGAAUUCACUGAGACAAUGGCGUGAUAUAGCAGUGGCAUCCAAGAGCUCAGCACAGUGUCUGGCAUCUGGUGUGCAUGGGCACAUGUACUGACUAUGACUGUCGGUGUGUGUUGUUAUACAGUCCAGGAACUGGUAAGUGCCCUCACCAGCGAGCAUGGCAGGUAGCUUCACUCAGUGAGUAGCAAGGGCACUCAGCUCUGAGGAUCUCAAUUCAUACAGGUGAAAAUCCUUAAAGGACUCUAUGAUUUAAACUCUGGAGUCAAAGCUAGUGUGUGUGUCUGUCUUUGCUCCUGCUAAGACAUGGAAACAAGUAUUGGAACCUCCAGAGUGUUUAAAUGGCUAUUGAAAUUUAUAAUGGCCCUUCAAUUCUUACUAUAUGCUUAAUAGUGUGCUAAAUAAGUGCUCUUCUGUCUUUUAUUAGAGCUUCUCAGAAACCCUAAUAGGCAAGUAUUAUCUUGAUUUUGCAGAUGUGAAAGCUAAGACCAUGAACCAUGUGAGAUUCCAAACCAAAUAAGCUUGCUGCCAUGGUCUAGGGUGAGGGUGCUGUCCUGUGCAAAUGUUAAGUUGGAUAUCACACUGUAUAUUUGCUGAGUCUCUUUUCCUAUAGGUUUGCAGAGCAUGUCUGCAGUUUCUCGGUUGUUAUAGAUUUCCUACCUAACCGGGAUGAUGAUGCACAGAACUCUAAAGCCAGUAGUGUGGCAACAGAAUAGCACAGUAUAACUCAGUUGAGACAUGACUUCAAGACUCGAGACUUGGUAGAAUCCUUUUACUUGGCCAUCUGAGUAGAAAUAGGAGUAGCUUUAAGAAAAAGGCAGAUUCUCUAAAGGAAUUUGGAGAUAUGACAUCACUCCUGAGCAGAGCAUAUUAGAAGAAAGCAAACUGCCAUACAAUAAUUUUCAGUUUCCAAGGCAACCAAGUGGAGAACACAUCACAGGAGACAGGAAAUAUGGCUUGUUCAUAGAAUGAUGCUACUGUGACUUCAAAACUGAUCUCAAGUAUUCUAGAAUCUGCUGGGACAUUGGGCUGUUUCUCAACUUAUGUGUCUACUUGGAGAGAAAAGAAUGUCUUUGAACAAAAUGGCUAACUUUCACAAAACUGUCUUGCCUCUUUUAAACAUUACACUUGAUACGAGAAAUAUGGCUUAAGAACACAUGAUGUCUCAGAAGGCCCAUGCGCACACCAGACCGCUGUCUUAGUACUGUCACUGUUGUAAAGGCACAUGUUGGAACACAUCCAGUCCUGCUGACCUGUAGAUAAUUAUUUUUCUCUAAAUGAACUGUACAUUUAUCUUAAAUAAAAAUUUAUUUUUGAGAUAAC